rnacentral:rRNA from 1 species
CAGUAGCCGCGGGAAUACGAAGGGUGCAAGCGUUACUCGGAAUUACUGGGCGUAAAGCGUGCGUAGGUGGUGGUUUAAGUCCGUUGUGAAAGCCCUGGGCUCAACCUGGGAAUUGCAGUGGAUACUGGGUCACUAGAGUGUGGUAGAGGAUAGUGGAAUUUCCGGUGUAGCAGUGAAAUGCGUAGAGAUCGGAAGGAACAUCUGUGGCGAAGGCGACUAUCUGGGCCAACACUGACACUGAGGCAUGAAAGCGUGGGGAGCAAACAGGAUUAGAGACCCCGGUAGUCCCUGUCUCUUAUAC